rnacentral:sRNA from 1 species
UGAGGUUAGCUACUCGGGAUAUGCUGUC